GAUAAAGUCAGGGACAUUGAAUCUCCUCUGUUGAGCCAUUGUUAUCAUCCCUGGCCAUCUGCUGCCGAGGAGUGAUACUCCAUCUCAUUUGCAUGAUGACUGAUAUAUGGGAGGUUUGGAAGGACAUAUGCCACGGCAAUCAUGUGAUGAAAAUUAAAGUGAAAGUUUUGGGCCCAGAGCCGAAAAAAAAUCUGUGUAUGCGCAUGAGGCUGUUGAUGUGCAAAUGUGAGUCAUAUUGAGAAGGUCUGAAUAGGGAGGUGUGACGUAAAGAGGGGACACAAGGCAGGUGCUUAUCUCUCGGCAGUCAAAGGCACUGGAUGUCAUAUCAUGGGAACUACCUUCCAAAGAAACAGCUUUAGUGUUUCCGUUCAGCACACAAGGGAGGAGAGAAAUAUAAGUUUUGGAAACGAACAAAAAAGAAACUAGACCUGAGAGUGAUGUUUGGAGUUUGAAUUAACGCCCAACUUCUGAGAGGAGGCUGCUGGGCAUUUGCACCGGACCAGUCCCACUGGAUCUACAGUUGCUGAUUUGAGUUGAAGAAGCAUCUGCUUAAUGUCUGGUCAGAACUUUCAAGUAACGCAGAAAUCCAUGGUUAAAAAGCUGGAUUCUCCAACUUACUGCAAAGGGUAAACACGGACCCUAGAACUCAUCUGCCAGGAAGGUUGGUGACUUGUGUUCUAGAAUGCCAGAAUGGACGGACAAACCAUAGCGAGUGUGUGUUAUGAUAGGUACUAUGUCUAUAUCUAUAUAUACUGUUCAUGUCAGUAGCCACUUGCUGUCAGGCUGAGAGUGUUAACACUGAAUUUCAGAGUUUUCUUUCAAGGGCCAAACAGCCUGAAGACAGAUUCUGUUCCAUCCCUGGGAGCAGGUAAAGGAGAUGCAGGCCUGUGUGUUAUGUCUGGAAGCAAGGAAGCCACAUGCAGAUUGUUCCCAUGGAAAGCAGGAUAAAACAUUGGCAAAAAGAGCUAGUAGCCUUUUAGGACACCUCAUUCAAGAGCAUCCUAAAUCCACAUGCCUUGGGAACUUGUCUCUCAUGACUUCUUGAGGAUAGUAUGUGCCAAACCUUGACUGACUUUUUUCUUCUGGUGGUUAAAAAUAAAACCAACAAUAGUGACAUUCAGAAUCCCUGUUAUACAAUUUUCCUAGUAAAGGGCAGGCAUUUAUCUAUAGCUAUGUGCAUGCUUAGUUGCUCAGUCAUGUCCAGCUGUUUGUGACCCCAUGGACUGCAGCCUGUCAGGCUCCUCUGUCCAUGGGGAUUCUCCAGACAAGAAUACUGGAGUAGGUUUCCAUGCCCUUCUUUAUCUAUAUCUUAUCUAUAUAUCUAGUUUGGUAAGAAAAACAAAAAUUGAUUUGGCUUACCUUAAUAAAGGUAAAUGGGGGUAAAGAAUCUGCCUGCAAUGCAGGGGACCUGGGUUCGAUCCCUGGGUCAGAAAGAUCCCCUGGAGAAGGGAAUGGCAACCCGCUCCAGUGUUCUUACCUGAAGAAUCCAUGGACAGGGGAGCCUGGUGGGCUACAGUCCACUGGGUCACAAAGAAUCAGACAUGACUGAGCAACUAACACAGCCAGCCAGGAUAAAGGUAAACAUCUUUUCCCCACUGAUAUAUUAUUAAAUAGUAUGACAUUUUCAUUCUGUGUAUAGCAUAGUCCAUGAGAAUUAUAGGCAAUUGUUUUCUGUCCACAUCACUGGCUAUUUUUGCUCUUCUGUUUUUUUGUCCACCUUACAUAUCUUCUCUCUUUUAUUUUUUAUUUUAAUAGAAUGAAUUGCAGGAUUUCUCACUAAAGCAAACACAGGUGUUCAUUCAUUCUGACGGAGGGGGGCUCACCGAGUCAGCGUACAAGUUACCUGGAGGAAGAGGUAAGGCAACAUUUUUAUUAAAAAGCAGAAUAUGUUGAAAUAAAAUGGAUCCAAAUGAAGCAUUUUAUAAAGACUCUCCCCUACAACAUUGCUUUAUCUCUAUAGAUUUACUUUCACAAAAAUAUAUUGUUAAUGCCCAAUUUAGGAUUGUGAUUUUUUUUGUCAGAAGUAUGAUCACUUAACUGUUUUAAAAUAUUAAACAGGUGAAGUUCUCUGAGCCUACAAGCCCUUUUGCACAUUGAUUAGUAUGUGUUAUUUGUUUGCACAUGUUUGCCCUUAGAGACUCAGCAUUAAAAUUGUUUUAAAAUUCCAAUUUGAAUUCAUUUGUAUUAGAAAUUAGUUUAUUUAAGGAUCAGAGGUAAAUAAGUAAGAUUUUUAAAAGCAUGUUUUUAAAAGCAUUGUAGCUGAUUUCUGCAGUUAAUUCCUACAAGCAGUGAAAAGUAAGGAACUGGGACAUCCUUGGGAACAAUCUGUUUAAAAUGGCUUACGCCUCUAUGAAGAAGCUUGUUUUCUAACAUUUAUGCAUUUUUCAACACAUGCAUCUCAAAAUAUCAGCAAGAAAAAAAAUGUUUAGACGGUUUCAGGGUUUUAACUUUCACUGAGUUCUCUUUAAUCAGAGCAUAUUAAAAAUAUUUUUAAGUCUAUGAAAACACAAAGCUGGUGAUUGCCCCCUUAGGUCACAAAACUGUGACUCGGAGGCCGUGGUACAGAGACUAAUAGAAAUCCUUGGCACCCGGCGUCCACCUAAGGGAAUGAUAGAACUAUUUGCUGGAGUCGUUUGGCAAAAGGACACAGACAUAUGGCUUUGGUUCAUGGUCACGUUGCCAGUUGUGCAAAGUUAGAGGGUUAGUCGGUACACAGGAGCGGCAGCAACUCAGAAAUCAAAAGUGAGACUCCAAACACAUCAGCCUCCUCUUAAAGCCACCCAAGCUUUCACAGGCCUGAGGUUUCUUCUAUUCGACUCUAGAAAUUCCCUUUCAAAGGCAGCUUUUCUGUGGGGGUGUGCAUGCCCUCAGCCUCAGCAAGAGCUCUCCCCAGACAGCUGUGCUUGGUCUGAGAGAAGACUGAACCUGCUUUCCCAUCAGGGGUGAGGGGACAUGAGAUGGGUCACCAACGUGCAGGAUGCCGUCGUUCGGUUCUUCAGCUUUUUCUGCAGAAUACGACAGUACAGAUAGAGCUGGACAGGAACAGAGAGCUGAAAUCAGGGAUCCUGUGCCCUAAAUAAAAGAUUUGGAAAAUUUUUCAUUUCAUUUAGAAGAAAGGAUUCAAAAAAAGUUUCAGAAAAUUACUAAUAUGGCAUCAAAGAUGCUGUCAAACUUCCUGAUUUUAUUCAUUUAGAUGAUUUUAAGUUUGCUUUCUUUUUUUUUUUUUUUUAAUAUUAUUGUGUUUGGCUGCACCACAUGGCAUAUGGAACUUUCCUGACCAGGGGCUGAACCUUUGCCCACAGCAUCGGAGGCAUGGAGUCUUAACCACAGGACCACCAGGGAAGUCCUUACAUUUAUUUUCUGAAUUACUCUCCCUGAGAAAUAAGUAAAUGUAUGAAAAGAGAACCAGGAAAAUAAAAGGAGGAUAAGAACAGAGGAAAAAUAUGCUUGAUCAUUCAAUCUUGGUUUCCUUCUCAAUGUGGCAACUGUGUUUUUAGGAUCACAGUUCAUUUCCCCAUCUUUCCCUUGUACCACAGGGAAGCAUCUUCUGCUGCCAUUUUCAGUCGAUUCAAAGCUCUGUUGAAAACAAAAUGAUGCCAGAAUCAUCAAAAGGAAGGGCACUCAGUGUAGGGUUCUUUGUUCUUCGAUCUGGCCAAGUUUUGUCCCAAGGUACAGACAUCAUUUAGCUGUUCCAUUUUCUGAGGUUAGCCUUUUCCAACUUCCUCAGUUUCUUUUUGUCAUUUUGAAAAACCUGACUUUUGUAAAGGAAGCAUCCGCUGAGGAUGGGGGACUCCUGGUGGGGAGGACCCCUGGACCUCCUCUCAGCAGGCACGGGACUAACUUCUUCUCGCCAUCACCAUGAGCUUCUCAGGAAUGGAAGAGUCAUGUGACACAACAGACAGCCUGCUUUGUCGGUUUACAACUCCCAGGAGAGGAACACUAUGAAAUCUUCUUUAAAGUGGGAUUUAUUGUAAGUCAACUGCAGUGAAAGACUUCUCAAAUUAAAAGUAGCUACUGGCGUGAAAUUAUAUGUAACUAGACAGGGCUUCCCUGGUGGCUUAGAUGGUAAAAAAUCUGCAUUCCAUGCAGAAGACCUGGUUUGAUCCUUGGGUUGGGAAGAUCCCCUGGAGGAGGGCAGGGCAACCCAUUCCAGCAUUUUUGCCUGGAGAAUUCCUUGGACAGAGGAGCCUGAGGGGCUAUAGUCCACAGGGUCACAAAGAGUCGGACACGAUUAUGCAACUAACACUUUCACCUUCAGACAAGAUUACAAUUAAUUGUGUAAGGAUUUUGAGAGUGUCCUCAAAAUGUUAUGAUCACCAUGGCUUUUCUACUAAUAUUAAGAAAUUCGCGACUACUUAUAAAUCUAUAUCAAGGAUGACAAUGGAUAGAAUUCUGUUGAAAGGAGAAAUAACGCUUAAAGAUUACCAAGAGAUUCGUUUUACCCAAAUCUUAAGAAGUGAUUAAAUAUUUACUUAGAGGUUGUUUUUGUGGACAAAUAAUUUUGUUUAACCAUUGAUCAAAAUAGAGUUUUAAGUGAAAAAUAAAAGGGAACUAAAUCUCCUCACAAACAAGUCAUUUGCAUGUGUGAUGGGAGCAAAACUGAGUUUAUCAAUCUGGUGUCCUGCUCCUUGAAUCUCUCCCUUCCACAAAUCAGCAAUUCUGGGGGUCCCUGGGGGCUCAGAUGAUAAAGACUCUGCCUGCAAUGCAGGAGACCCAGGUUCGAUUCCUGGGUCAGGAAGCUCCUCUGGAGGCGGGCAUGACAACCCACUCCAGUAUUCUUGUCUGGAGAAUCCCAUGGAUAGAGGAGCCUGGCAGGUCCAUGAGGUUGCAAAGAAUUGGACACAACUGAACCCCGAAGAAGGCACCUAUUUGGUGCCGUGGAGUGAUGCAGAAGGAAGAUCUUCUGAUAGCACCUGAUGUAUCUAAGUACCAGGAGGAGAAGGUGGUCAAGCUCAGGUCACUAGGGACACCUGCACAUAGCUUUGUAAAUCCCUUGAAGAUGUAACAUGAGUUUUCCAAAUUCAGGUAAAUAGUGAGAAUGCAUUUCAUAGUCAUCUUUCUUCUUCACCGCUUCUCUGCUUAUCUCCAUUGUUGGUUGGCAUAGCCUUCCUCUAAGUUUGCUUCUUCGCCUCCUUGAUUUUAUAAGUUUCUUUCCCUCUUGCCAUUUGUCCUUGUAUUAAUUCCUCUCCCUAGAGAAUUGGGGGAGAAGCUCCUUAAAUUUUUUUUUUCAUGACUUCAUUAUGAAAUAGAUACUAAGCAGGAACCCUUUUUUUUCCUUUCAACAUAAAUAUUAUAUGUAACAUAUCCAUAGUUACAGGUUAAUAGAACUUUUCCUGUAGUUUCAGGAAAAAUAAGAGUAG
ensembl:lncRNA